rnacentral:lncRNA from 1 species
AUUGCUAUAAUAUAUAAACUAAAACAUCCAAUUUUCAACAAAAAAAUUACAGGCAUGCAAACAAAAAAGAAAGUAUGACACAUGCACUGGGUAAAAAAGCAAGCAACAGAAACUUCUUGUGAGAGUGACCACAAUGUCAGAUUUAACAAAUACUUCCAAGUAGCCAUUAUAAAUAUGUUUAAAGAACUAAAAGAAAGCAUGAUUAAUUAAGCAAAGAAGGUACGAUGUCAAUGUCACAUGACACAGGACAUAGAGAAUAUUAAUAAUGAGAUAGAAGUUAUAAGUGAAAACCCCAUGGAAAUUCUGGAGUUGAAAAGUGCAAUAACUAAAAGAAAACAUUCACUAGAAGGGCUAAAAAGUAUAUUUGAACCAAUAGAAGAAUGAUUUAAUGAACCUGAAGAUAGAUCGAUAGAUAGUAUGCAAUCCAAAUCACAGAGAGAAAGGAAGAAAACUGAACAGAGCUUCAGACAAAUGUGGGACACUAUUAAAUGCACCAAUAUAGUACACAAUGACAGUACUAGAGGAGAGAGAGAAAGGAGCAGGAAAAAAUAAAGGAAUAUGGGUGAAAACUUUCCAAUAUUUGUUGAAAAACAAUAAUCUACAUAUCCAAAAAGCUUAGUUAACUCCAAGUAGGAUGAAUUCAAAAAGAUCUACAGACAUUUCAUAGUAAACACAUUAAAAGUCAAAGAUAAAGAGAAACUCCUGAAAGCAGAUAGAGAUAAAUGACUUAUCACUCGCAAGGGAAAUUCAAUAAAAAUAACAGUUGACUCAGUAGAAACAAUGGAGGCCAAAGACAGUAGGAACACCUAUUCAAAAUGAUCAAAGAAAAAACUGUCAAUGAGCAAAGCUGUCUUUCAAAAAUGAAGGCAAAAUUAAAAUAUUUCCAGAUAGACAAAAAUCGAGAGGAUUUGUUGCUAGUAUACCCAACUUAUAAGCAAUAUCAAAAAAUCUUCAGGCCAAAAGCAAGUGACUCCAGACAUUGGUUUCAAUCCACACAAAAAUACGAAGAGCACCAGUAAUUAUGUAAUUAUAAAACAGAGUAUAAAUGCAAACUCCAUCUCUACUUAACUGGUGUAAAAAGCAAUUGCAUAAAAUAAUAUGUAUAUAAUAUAUUGUUGGCCUCUAACACAUAGAAUUAUAAUUUAUUUGUCAUAUAUUUGCCAAGAACAAUGCAAAAGAGGUAGAUGGGUGCAAAGCUCUAUUGAACUAAAGAAAUGACUACAGGGCCUGCCUGGUGGCACAGUGGUUAAGUUCACAUAACCUGCUCAGGAGGCCUGUGGUCUAUGGGUUUGGAUUCUGGGUGAGGACCUACACACUGCUCAUCAAGGCAUGCUGUGGUGGUGUCCCACAUACAAAAUGGAGGCAGGUUGGCAUAGAUGUUAGCUCAGGGCCAAUCUUCCUCACCAAAAAGAACAGAAAAAAGAGAAAUGACUACAGAUGGUUCAGUAAUAAUAACAAUAUGCUGUUGAAUUGUUUGUGCUAAUAGAUGUAAUAUAUGUAACAAUAACAUCAUAAAAGAAGGAUAAAGAUAUAUAGCAGUAACAUUUUUUAUAUCUUAUGAAAUUAAGCUAGUAUAAAUCUGAUGAUUCUGAUAAGUGAAGAUAUAUAUAGUAAGCCCUAGGGCAUCCACUAAAAAAAAAAUGACUGAAACAAAUGAAGUAAAAAAAAAUAAGACAAAAUGCUUCACGGGAAAAUUCACUUAAUGCAAAAGAAAGCAAUAAAGGAGGGAUAGAAGAAAAAAAGAAAAGUGACACAUAGAAAACAAACAGUAAAACAGACAUAAAUCCAACAAUAUCAAUAAUAUCAUUAAAUUUAAAUUAAGUAAAAAUAUAAUCAAAAGUAAGAGAUUGUUACGACUGAAUUUAGGGGCUGGCCUCAUGGCCGAGUUGUCAAGUUUGCACGCUCCACUUCAGGGGCCCAGGCUCUCACAAGUUUGGAUCCUGGGCGUGGACCUAGCACUGCUCAUCGAGUCAUGCUGAGGCAGCAUCCCAUGUGGAAGAACUGGAAGGACCUACAAAUAGAAUACACAACA